UGUUUUAUGUGGCACAUGUGACAAAUACAAUUUGAUUUGAGGUGGUACCAAUACCCUGUAUCUCUCUGAGGCUGUAAUACUGUUGAUGACCACUAGGUGGUGCCAAUACCCUGUAUCUCUCUGAGGAGGCUGUAAUACUGUUGAUGACCACUAGGUGGUGCCAACACCCUGUAUCUCUCUGAGGUGGCUGUAAUAUUGUUGAUGACCACUAGGUGGUACCAACACCCUGUAUCUCUCUGAGGCUGUAAUACUGUUGAUGACCACUAGGUGGUGGCAAUACCCUGUAUCUCUCUGAGGCUGUAAUACUGUUGAUGACCACUAGGUGGUGCCAAUACCCUGUAUCUCUGAGGCUGUAAUACUGUUGAUGACCACUAGGUGGUGCCAACACCCUGUAUCUCGCUGAGGCUGUAAUACUGUUGAUGACCACUAGGUGGAGCCAAUAUCCUGUCGCCGAUUUGAGAUCAUAACAUUGAACAAGCCUCCUAAUCACAAAAGGGAGAUUUUUUUCUCUAAAUAAAAACGGUUGGCAAUGUUAAGAAUCAAUAACAUCUUUAAAUGUACAAUCAACAAUGUCUGUUACAAUUAAAAAUGAUUCUUUCCCAAAUA